GCCCGGCUAGCUCAAUCGGUAGAGCGUGAGACUCUUAAUCUCAAGGUUGUGGGUUCGACCCGUAAGCGCACUCCAGACU
rnacentral:tRNA from 1 species